UAGGGAAUCUUCCACAAUGGACGAAAGUCUGAUGGAGCAACGCCGCGUGAGUGAAGAAGGUUUUCGGAUCGUAAAACUCUGUUGUUGGAGAAGAACGUAUUUGAUAGUAACUGAUCAGGUAGUGACGAUAUCCAACCAGAAAGCCACGGCUAACUACGUGCCAG
rnacentral:rRNA from 1 species